rnacentral:rRNA from 1 species
GAUGAACGCUGGCGGCGUGCUUAACACAUGCAAGUCGAACGGGAAACAUUUUAUUGAAGCUUCGGCAGAUUUAGCUUGUUUCUAGUGGCGGACGGGUGAGUAACGCGUGGGUAACCUGCCUUAUACCGGGGGAUAACAGCCAGAAAUGACUGCUAAUACCGCAUAAGCGCACAGAACCGCAUGGUUCCGUGUGAAAAACUCCGGUGGUAUAAGAUGGACCCGCGUUGGAUUAGCUAGUUGGCAGGGCAGCGGCCUACCAAGGCGACGAUCCAUAGCCGGCCUGAGAGGGUGAACGGCCACAUUGGGACUGAGACACGGCCCAGACUCCUACGGGAGGCAGCAGUGGGGAAUAUUGCACAAUGGGGGAAACCCUGAUGCAGCGACGCCGCGUGAAGGAAGAAGUAUCUCGGUAUGUAAACUUCUAUCAGCAGGGAAGAUAAUGACGGUACCUGACUAAGAAGCCCCGGCUAACUACGUGCCAGCAGCCGCGGUAAUACGUAGGGGGCAAGCGUUAUCCGGAUUUACUGGGUGUAAAGGGAGCGUAGACGGCGCAGCAAGUCUGAUGUGAAAGGCAGGGGCUUAACCCCUGGACUGCAUUGGAAACUGCUGUGCUUGAGUGCCGGAGGGGUAAGCGGAAUUCCUAGUGUAGCGGUGAAAUGCGUAGAUAUUAGGAGGAACACCAGUGGCGAAGGCGGCUUACUG